AAAGUAAAUCAAUGUAAUGUAAGUGACAGGACAAAUUCAAAACGUUUUAUUGCAUUUUCUGAGUGCUUAUACUGAAUCUUUCUGGCUGGCCUCAUAAACCAUGAGUUAUAGUCACCCAGCAAUCACAGUCUGCAGGUGCUGUGGAAGGGUCUAGCCAGACCCAGUCAAGAUGCUGCUGACUGAGGAGGCAGGAGCCAUCACAUGUCCCUCCUGCGGCGGUCUUGGCCAGCAUUCCAACCAUGGUGAGGAAGAAAGGGUUUGAGAAUGUCCUUCCCCUGCACUCCUCUCCCAGGAGCCGGCCAGAAAGCAUCUGGGGGCAGCAGAGGCGAGACUGGGAGGAAGGGCAGUGGGGGCUGAAGGCCUCCUGGGUCAGCACUGAGCUGACCGCUGGUGGGGAGGGGCGAGUGGGGGCUUCCGGGGGCGACAGCAGGCGUCCAGGGAGGGCGGCGCCCAAGGCAGCAGCAGGUCCGCAGGACGCCCUCACCGAGGUUCAGCGGCACGUUUGUGGGCGCGCAGGAGAGCCCAGGACAGGCGGAGCCAAGGGCAGGCGGUGGAGCCCAGGGGUGGAACGAAGGCGAAGCCCAGGAUGGGACAGACGGCGGAGCCCAGGACAGAACAGACGGCGGAGCCCAGGACAGGCGGAGCCAAGGGCAGGCGGUGGAGCCCGGCAGUCCGCCCCGGCCCCGCCCCGCGGUCACGUGCCCCGCAGGCCCCGCCCCUGAGCGCCGCAGUCUAGACCCCGCGCCUCGCUCCUCUGAUUCUCAGACGCCUGAGGACUCGCUGUGGUCGUGUCCGGAGGCCCUCAGCUGAGACGGCGCCAGACAAAGAUGGGCAGCCUUAUCUUGGCAUUAGAUGGGGUCUCCACUCUCUCAUGAGAAAGCUCCUCCAAAAGGCCCUCAUGGGGAGUGAGGAGGACACGGAUUAACUGUCAGUCAUUGGUGGUGUUGCUCAGGAAUUAUUCAGGGACCCCUGCUUGAUAUGGAUACAGAACUAGAGUGUAUGGAUGUGGUUGAUUAACAAGCAUAGAAUAAGCUGCUGCUAGGUCAUCCUCUUUGGCAGAAGAAGCAUAGGAGAGAAGAGGAAAAGGAGAAGAAUGAGACACAGAAUCCUCAGCUUUGGAGCUAAAGACAGCUUAAACCAACGUGCAGUGUUCCACUUACAAAUGGAAUUAAAUACACGCUAUGAUUAAACGAAUUCCCAUCACUCUUCUUUCCCAUGUUUAAAUCCAGCUAACUGCCACUGGCUUCUUGACUUCCUUCAAACCAUCUCAGCCUCCAUGGAGCCAUGUAUGCUGCAUUUCCCCUCGGUUGUAUGAGAUUUUCCAAUUGAUGAAAAGCAACCUUACACUGGGAGACUGAUCUAAUUCCAGGAAAAUUUUUCUUUUAUUUAUUCACUAAAUAUUUGCCAUAAAGAUAAUCAAUUUUAGAAAUUUGGAAAAUACGGAUGUCCUACCAUUUCAACUAAACAUUAUUACGCACGUGAUAUUUUCACUUCCAGUCUUGCUUCUCUAACUAUAUGUGUGUGUAUAUUGGUCAGCAGCUGGCCAGGUUCACACUAGCCAGCCAGGAGUGGGCAAGUUCAUUACAGAGAGGAGGGCUGGGGUGAGCAGUGAUGCUCUCUGACCGAGCUAUACAAGAGAGUUACAAUGAGUGACGGGCACCAGGGUAAUAACCAAGUAGUACUGUUAUUCUUAUGUGACAAUCUUCCCAGGGGUGAUAGCUCACAGAAUUUGAACACUUCUUAGCCAUAUUUUUAUAAUCUUAUCAAAUACCAUUGAAAUAUCACCUAUAUUCUUAUCUAUUCUGGCCUAGAUGCUGAGGAAUGACCCCACACCAUCAAAAGUUGGUGAGGUUGUUCUACACGGUGUCUGGAUCUCUCAGAAUCUGUGGCUGACCAGAAGCAUGUGGGCUUUCUCCAUGCUUUUUCUGCUAAUUACUAUGCCAACAUUUGUGGUAAUGUGCACCAAUAUAUGAUCUGUGUGAUGUGACCACAGAGGCUACCUUAUAAUGAAGGACAGUGAUUGAGACCUCUGUAUGCCCAGGUGAUUCAGGAACAUGGAUGGAUGCUGGGACACCCUUGCACUGGGACUAAUGAUCCAAUUGUGGAGUAAUGAAGGCUAUAAAGUAGUUCAGAGCCUCAACACUGGGGCCACAGCCCUGCAUACACACUUAGACUCUUUCACACAGGAGCUCAAGAGCUUGGGUCACUCAUCACUGCACCUCAUUUUCUGAGGAGUGGGAACAGCAAACACACCCACAGAUAUGGCUGUGGUGAGUGAUGAGCAAGUCAAUUGUGUGUAAAGCAUAGAGUGGCUAUGGGGUUUUCUUUGAGGAUGGUGGCACUUACAAUUGUGCUGUGUAACUAGGACGUAUCUAUGGAGAACUGACAUUCUCUGUCAUAUGCACUCCCGACGCAUUCACAACAACAUCCCACAGACUCACACACAGGCACCCCUAAGGCCCCAUGCACACAAAUCCACACCCCUGAAGGGAACACAGCUUUUCCAGGGACUGCAGAAUGUUGCCAGAGUUCUUUACCUGGGAAAACAGUUCUUACAUCACACUCCCCAUCCUCAUUCCCAGCAGGAAGCUGGAAUCAUGGAGGCUCUCCAGACUAAGGCCAGCAAGAAAGCCCCACCUUUCUGUUCAUUUGGAUUUUUUCCUCAGCAUCACCUUCAAUGGAGUCCUGUGUGUGGUGCACCCUGGCAUGUGACAAGAUGCCCACUGUUCUUACCCACUGCUGGAAUUGGGCUGUAUCUUUCCUUAAACAAAGCACAAUUUUCUCUUUGUAUCCAUAAGGUUAGAUCCUGGGAUAUGCAAUCACACUAGAGAGAGCUUUUGACAUACUGCUGGCAGAAGACCACAGGAAAGUCAAUAAUAAGUUAUUCUCAGUUCAAACUUUUGAUACCAUUAUUCACAGGCUGCCCAACAGAACUACUUGCAUUAAAGUUGUGCUUCCAGAAAAGAACGCAGUUUAGUGUUCACUUAAAACACUUGGAUUGUGUGGGAAAAUACUUUGAUUUAGAUGAGACAACACAAGCAGCAGAGCACAGUGACAGAGAGCAUGGGUGCAGGUGCCUGAUGACCUGGGUUCAAAUCCCACUUAGAUGUCACAUGACCCUGGGAAAGUUACAUAACUGCUCUGUGUCUCAGUUCUCUGCGCUGUCAUAUGAAAACUUGAAGGGCCCAUUUAUUACUAUUAUAUUAUAGGACUAUCAUUAUUACAAACAAGUAAAGCUUUAAGACCAAGUACUGAUUCAUCACAAAUGCUCAAUAAGACUUCAGUUAUUAAAUGUCUGAAGAAUAAGCUACAUGUUGCUGGUGGUUGACUACAGAGAGGGGAUGGCUACAGAACAGGGGAGGAUGGAAGCUUAUUCUCCAACCUUUACAUGGGAAGGAUGCCCACAGUUCAUGGAGAAUGUCUGUUUUCAUCUCCUGUGAUCCCCAUUGUAACCCUAUGCGGGGUGCAGAACAGGGGACAUAGCACACCUCUUGCAGUUGAAGGCAAUUAAAUUUAGAGAGGUUAAGUGACCUGUCCGGAGUCAGAACACUGAUGAAUGAGCGAUCUGAGGCAGGAAUGUAGUUGGUUCCCUGGGUACAGAAAUCGGAAAACCUGAGACCAGUAGAUCACACCCCAGAUGCCUGAAUCAAGAUCCUCCAUCAUUCUCUUCCUGAAAACAACUUAAUGACAGGUUUCUUUGGGGAAAAAGUUGAUGCCCUGGAUGAUGUAUCCAAACCAAAAGAAAAGUUGGUGGGGGCUAAAUCCAUGAUCUGGCCUCUUGCCUCCACAUUUCAAUCCCUUAUCCAAAUAUGAAGCAAUUUACCUGGAUU